rnacentral:rRNA from 1 species
GACGAACGCUGGCGGCGUGCCUAAUACAUGCAAGUUGAGCGAUGAAGAUUGGUGCUUGCACCAAUUUGAAGAGCAGCGAACGGGUGAGUAACGCGUGGGGAAUCUGCCUUUGAGCGGGGGACAACAUUUGGAAACGAAUGCUAAUACCGCAUAAUAACUUUAAACAUAAGUUUUAAGUUUGAAAGAUGCAAUUGCAUCACUCAAAGAUGAUCCCGCGUUGUAUUAGCUAGUUGGUGAGGUAAAGGCUCACCAAGGCGAUGAUACAUAGCCGACCUGAGAGGGUGAUCGGCCACAUUGGGACUGAGACACGGCCCAAACUCCUACGGGAGGCAGCAGUAGGGAAUCUUCGGCAAUGGACGAAAGUCUGACCGAGCAACGCCGCGUGAGUGAAGAAGGUUUUCGGAUCGUAAAACUCUGUUGGUAGAGAAGAACGUUGGUGAGAGUGGAAAGCUCAUCAAGUGACAGUAACUACCCAGAAAGGGACGGCUAACUACGUG